CAUCGGCUAACUCCGUGCCAGCAGCCGCGGUAAUACGGGGGAUGCAAGCGUUAUCCGGAAUCAUUGGGCGUAAAGCGCCUGUAGGUUGUUUACUAAGUCUGUUGUUAAAGACUAGGGCUUAACCCUAAAAAAGCAAUGGAAACUUGUAGACUAGAGUAUGGCAGGGGUAGAGGGAAUUUCUAGUGUAGCGGUGAAAUGCGUANAUAUUANAAAGAACACCAGUGGCGAAAGCGCUCUACUGGACCAUUACUGACACUCAGAGGCGAAAGCUAGGGUAGCAAAAGGGAUUANAUACCCCUGUAGUCCUAGCCGUAAACGAUGGAUACUAGAUGUUGUGCAUUGUACAGUAUCGUAGCUAACGCGUUAAGUAUCCCGCCUGGGGAGUACGCUCGCAAGGGUGAAACUCAAAGGAAUUGACGGGGGCCCGCACAAGCGGUGGAGCAUGUGGUUUAAUUCGAUGCAACGCGAAGAACCUUACCAGGGCUUGACAUACUACAAAUUCUUUUGAGAAAGAGAAGUGCCUUCGGGAAUGUAGAUACAGGUGGUGCAUGGCUGUCGUCAGCUCGUGUCGUGAGAUGUUGGGUUAAGUCCCGCAACGAGCGCAACCCUUAUUUUUAGUUACCAAUUCGUUGGGUUUUUUAGAAAGACUGCCGGUGACAAACCGGAGGAAGGUGAGGAUGACGUC
rnacentral:rRNA from 1 species